rnacentral:tRNA from 1 species
AGGUAACUAUUUUAAUUAAAAUAUUUGAUUUCGACUCAAAAGCUCAUGGUUUUAACCCACGAUUACCCA